rnacentral:rRNA from 1 species
GACGAACGCUGGCGGCGUGCUUAACACAUGCAAGUCGAACGGAAAGGCCCUGCUUGCAGGGUACUCGAGUGGCGAACGGGUGAGUAACACUUGGGUGAUCUGCCCUGCACUUCGGGAUAAGCCUGGGAAACUGGGUCUAAUACCGGAUAGGAGCCAUUUUUAGUGUGAUGGUUGGAAAGUUUUUUCGGUGUAGGAUGAGCUCGCGGCCUAUCAGCUUGUUGGUGGGGUAAUGGUCUACCAAGGCGGCGACGGGUAGCCGGCCUGAGAGGGUGGACGGCCACAUUGGGACUGAGAUACGGCCCAGACUCCUACGGGAGGCAGCAGUGGGGAAUAUUGCACAAUGGGCGCAAGCCUGAUGCAGCGACGCCGCGUGGGGGAUGACGGCCUUCGGGUUGUAAACUCCUUUCGCUAGGGACGAAGCUUUUGUGACGGUACCUAGAUAAGAAGCACCGGCUAACUACGUG